UGGGGAAUAUUGCACAAUGGGCGGAAGCCUGAUGCAGCAACGCCGCGUGAGGGAUGACGGCCUUCGGGUUGUAAACCUCUUUUAGCAGGGAAGAAGCGAGAGUGACGGUACCUGCAGAAAAAGCGCCGGCUAACUACGUGCCAGCAGCCGCGGUAAUACGUAGGGCGCAAGCGUUAUCCGGAAUUAUUGGGCGUAAAGAGCUCGUAGGCGGUCUGUCGCGUCUGCUGUGAAAACCCGAGGCUCAACCUCGGGCCUGCAGUGGGUACGGGCAGACUAGAGUGCGGUAGGGGAGAUUGGAAUUCCUGGUGUAGCGGUGGAAUGCGCAGAUAUCAGGAGGAACACCGAUGGCGAAGGCAGAUCUCUGGGCCGUAACUGACGCUGAGGAGCGAAAGGGUGGGGAGCAAACAGGCUUAGAUACCCUGGUAGUCCACCCCGUAAACGUUGGGAACUAGUUGUGGGGACCUUUCCACGGUCUCCGUGACGCAGCUAACGCAUUAAGUUCCCCGCCUGGGGAGUACGGCCGCAAGGCUAAAACUCAAAUGAA
rnacentral:rRNA from 1 species